rnacentral:lncRNA from 1 species
AAAAUGGGAGUGAUGUGUGUGACUCUCAAGUAGGAGCUUUUAACAGUGUAAAAUUUACCAUACUCAUUUUUCCUACCUCAGCAAUCUUGGAACUUUGGGAAUGCAUUCUCCUUCAGCUCAAGUGAAGAUGAGUAAAGUAGACUGCCUCACCUCUAACAACCAUCAAUAUAUAGUGUGAUGCGAAAUAAACCUGCAUUGUUUAGGCCAUGUAGAUUUUGGGAGUAUUUGUUACAGCAGUAUACCCCAUCUUAUCUGACAAAUACACUUUCAUUUGAUUUCACAGGCUUUGGGAGUAUUUGUUACAGCAGUAUAACCCAUCUUAUCUGACUAAUACAUUUUCAUUUGAUUUCAUAGGUUUUGGGAUUAUUUGUUACAGCAGCGUAACCCAUCUUAUCUGACUAAUACUGUUUCAUUUGUUUCUCUUUUAUAGAAGCAAGCUGCUCCCUCCAUACCUUUUCUUUGUGGUUGGGUAAACAGUGAAUGGCUGGCUACCUCUUCCUCUCCAUUUCAGAGGUGGUUCUGCUCCCUGGGCACAGAGGAGGUCAUGAGUUGAGAGUGGGCUGUGCGUGUAUCCUAGAAUCUCAGCCUUCUGGGAGCAGUGACCAUUAUAUGCUCCGGUGGGCUCUCUGGAGUUUUCAGGAAGAUGAUGAGAUAUUUUACCAAGAAUGUCUGUUAAAAAUACUCUUUGCCUUCCAACAGCCUUCACCUGAAGCACUUUGAAGAUUCUAAAUAACUUCUGCAGCCUAAAGUGGAUAAUUUUUAACCUAAGGGGUAGGCGAAGUCCCACCGCCAUCACCUCUGUGGUGUGAUUUCAGGAACCCAGUCAGGCUGCUUCCCCAAAUACGAUGACCAAUGUCUGAGACGACACCAAUAGAAAUGGAUUUCUUUGGGAUAUUGAUUGCUUUUGUUUUUGAUUUUCUCCACUCGUCAAGGGAAGACAAAGAUGUGAGAAAUACGCAUUCCAGCUUUUUCAUGUGUUAUUGGCUGGCACUAGAAGCAAAGGAAGCUCAGCCAGGGCCUUUGCUGUGAGCUCAGACAGGCCAGGCCUGAAUCCGGUCCCAUCACAGGUGUGUGAUGCUGGGCAGCUCUUUUGUUUAACUCCUGAAAGUCAGAGGUCUCAUGUAAUGCCUGCCACAUGGAGUUGUUAUGUGGAUUGAAAUAGCUGAUGGGGGUAUAGACUUAGAGCAGUAUACUGAGUUCUUGAGCAGAUAUCUCAGUUCUGUCCCUUAACAGUUGGGUGA